GCGCUCAUGGCCUAAUGGAUAAGGGGCUUGACUUCGAAUUAGGUAAUAGUAGGUUUGAGUCCCACUAGGCGUG
rnacentral:tRNA from 1 species